AACGAACGCUGGCGGCAGGCUUAACACAUGCAAGUCGAGCGCCCCGCAAGGGGAGCGGCAGGCGGGAGGGUAACACGUGGGAACAUACCUUUUGGUUCGGAACAACUGAGGGAAACUUCAGCUAAUACCGGAUAAGGCCUUACGGGGGAAGAUUUAUCGCCGAAAGAUUGGCCCGCUUCUGAUUAGCUAGUUGGUGGGGUAACGUCUCACCAAAGCGACGUUCAGUAGCUGGUCUGGGAGGAUGAUCAGCCUCACUGGGACUGGGACACGGACCAGACCCCUACGGGAGGCAGCAGUGGGGAAUAUUGGACAAUGGGGCCAAACCUGAUCCAGCCAUGCCGCGUGAGUGAUGAAGGCCUUAGGGUUGUAAAGCUCUUUUGCCCGGGAAGAUAAUGACGGUACCGGGAGAAUAAGCCCCGGCUAACUUCGUG
rnacentral:rRNA from 1 species